ACUCCGACACAUGCUACAAUAUGUUGAACCUUGAAGACAUUAUGCUGUGUGAAAUAAGCCAGUUACAAAAGGACAAAUACUGUCUGAUUCCACGUAUAUGAGGUUCCUAGAGUAGUCAAACUCAUAGAGACAGAAGCAGAAUGCUGGUUGCCAGUGGCUGGGGAGAGGGUAAAUGGAGAGUUAUUGUUUAGUGGGCAUAUAGUUUCAGUUUGCAAAGAUGAAAAAAACCUGGUAGCGAUUGUUGGACAAUGUGAAUGUACUUAAUGCCACAGAACUGUGCGCUUAAAAAUAGUUUAAAUGGUAAAUUUUAUGGCACAUGCAUUUUGUCGAAAUUUUUAAAGGGACUAUGAAGGGUAACUUGUAUGAAAUAAAAUGGUUAGAACUCUCUUGCGGUCCUUUGGAUACAUUCUAAACCUGAGUUGGGGUGUGGGGAGGGGUGGGUUCAGAGAUUUCUUUCCAGAAAGAAAAGAGCCACAACCACUAACACCUCCACUCCCCACCGCGCCAGAACGUUUCCAGCACGGGGAUGCGCUGCGGCAAACCUAGAAGGAACCCAGAAGCGGAAAAUCCUAGAUAAGAGUUCCUGCGGAUGGAACAGCGGGGCGGCUCGGAGACGCAGGAUCCCUCCCUGCUCAGCUGGGGAACUGUCUGCCCUCUAGAGGCGGGUUUGGGUAGCAAUUAAAGAAUGUUUCUCUUUGGGCUCCUUUAAAAAGGGAAAGUAAAGCCAAGAUGGAGGGUACGCGAGAGCACACCGGGUCUUCCGGAAGUUUGCUGCUGAUGAAAGGGGCAAAAAGCGCUGGGAAGUCUCUGCUCUCUCCUUUCUUUCAGAAUGUGAUCGUUUGGAGCCAGAGGGCAUGAAGUGACCGGCUGGCCGCCUUGCCACACCAAGUCAGAGCCGUCCCUAAGAACCCACACCUGCUGUACAGACCCUGAGCUCCUGCUCUUCUUGGGCCUUCAAGGAUAAAGAGAGUACCUGAACCCUGUUUGAAAUAGCACCUUGCUCUUGCUGUGGAAGCUGAAGGGAAAAAACAGAAUCUCCAUUUCGGAUCCUCCCACAGCACAGGAGAGGCGAGGAGGGUGUGAACUGGAGCUGGCUGUGAAGCAAGAUGCCAGACCCCAAAGAACAGCCGAGAAGGUGGUGCUGACUGGCCAGCUCCUGAGGGCCCUGCGGGGCCUCUGGCCUCUUCCCACCGUAAAGGACUAUGGUUCCUGCCCUUUUGCAAACAGAUCCUUUGAACUCACAAAGUCCCAACGGGCCUUCCAAUCAAUUCUCUUUUGUUGAAGACAGCAGGACACCAUUUCUGUUGGUUGAGUCCAAGAACUCUCAAUAUAUGUGAGAGAGCUGGGAUGUUCAAAGAAAAGCUGAACAUUUGUUUAUUUGAGGUUUGUUUAUUUGUGUGUUUUAACUUUCUGGUACACUGCUUGAAACUGGGCUUAUUAUGGUCUAGCAGGACUCGUAGGUCAAACUGCUUUAAAGAAUGGAUAAAAAUGGCUUAUAAGAAAUGCAUCAAUGACAUAUACAUAAGGAGAGCUUAAAAGCUCCUUGCUCUUCUUAAAAUAUUUUAAAAUAAAUUUUUAAAAAAUAAUAUUGUCUCAUUCAUGUAUUUUUGUGCACUCAGCAUUGCCAAAUUCUUGAGAACAUCUUUUUCUUGAGUUAAAAUAAUGGUAAACCAGCUGGUAAAUUUCCUCCAAAUUAUCAAAAACUUUGGAGUUACUAGAAUUAUAGGAAAUGAGAUUUAAUGUAAAGACAACUUAAUGUGUUAUAAGUUUUAGCUCAAGCCUUUUUUUUUUUCUCAUACUGAAAAAGGUACAUGCUUCCUGUGGAAUAUUGAGAAAUACCUAUAAACACACAAUCUAGUAGCUGUCAUUGUAACUGUAGGAGGGGCAGCAGUAGCCUGUGAGGAUAUGACAGGGGAGUGAUCCCUCUGAGAAGGCCUUGAGGGGGCUCUCAGGCACACGCUCUGGGAAAGAGGUGAGGGCAGGGCAUGCCCGUGGGAAGCUAAGUGUACACCCUGCUUAGCUCUAUACCUGCUCUUCUAUCCCCACAGAAAAGACACUAAGGAGAGGCUCUUGCCAGAAAAAGAAAAAAAAAAAAACAUUAGAGGAACUUACAAACC